AGUGAACGCUGGCGGUAGGCCUAACACAUGCAAGUCGAACGGCAGCACAGUAAGAGCUUGCUCUUACGGGUGGCGAGUGGCGGACGGGUGAGGAAUACAUCGGAAUCUACUUUUUCGUGGGGGAUAACGUAGGGAAACUUACGCUAAUACCGCAUACGACCUACGGGUGAAAGCAGGGGAUCUUCGGACCUUGCGCGAUUGAAUGAGCCGAUGUCGGAUUAGCUAGUUGGCUGGGUAAAGGCCCACCAAGGCGACGAUCCGUAGCUGGUCUGAGAGGAUGAUCAGCCACACUGGAACUGAGACACGGUCCAGACUCCUACGGGAGGCAGCAGUGGGGAAUAUUGGACAAUGGGCGCAAGCCUGAUCCAGCAAUACCGCGUGGGUGAAGAAGGCCUUCGGGUUGUAAAGCCCUUUUGUUGGGAAAGAAAAGAAGCAGGUUAAUCCCCCGCUGUUCUGACGGUACCCAAAGAAUAAGCACCGGCUAACUUCGUG
rnacentral:rRNA from 1 species